UUGUCAUCAAACCUUCAUGAGAUGCCCACUGUACAAGUACUGAAAUGGCUGAUGACAGAGGAUGUUCGACCCAGAUGAGUCAUCUUGUUCACUUAGUUUUGAAGUACCUCUUUUGAAUGAGGCUUUAACAUGACACAAAAACAAAUCUGCAUUUGUGUCCACUCCUAUACCUCCAUCAGCACGCCACUUCUCCUGAACUCUUACUUAGCCUCUGGACCUUUCUCUCUUCCUCCUUUCAGACCUCUCACCAACAAACCAAAUCAUUGCCACUUCUCAAGUUUGCAAGCAUACCUUUACCUCUGAUGACUUCUUCCAUGAAACUAAGGUGAUAACAAUGUGUAUUGCUCACAGUUCAGCUUGUUGGGAAGAUUUCCCUCUCAUCACUGUCCUCACAGCUAUAUCUAAAUGUGGAUGUGGAGCAGUGGUAGUCCAUUUUUAGCUUGUAGUAACAUAUGGAGUGAGUCAUCAACAACUGCUGUUCUAGUAUGUAUCUAUGCAUGUAUUGAUUUAUUGUGUAAACAUUUCUUCUUUAUAAAUAAAAUAAAAUAUAAUUUGAAUUAAAUGUAGGACUUCGGGUAAAAGAAAAAAAUAGUAAAAAGAAAAGGCCAGGAAUAAAAUGUUGUUCACAAAAUCAGACUGUGAAGUUUGGUGCACUGAAAAGAUACAGAAAUUGCUGCUGGGAUAAUAGAGCACAUAUCAUGGAUUUCCUUUGUAAAAUAUGUUUCUCUUCAGUGACAAUACAUUCGUGAAAUAUUUCAUACCAUCUGGUAGAGUUUAAGUAUAUGUGUCCCUCCCAAAUUCAUAUGUUGGAACUCAGACCCCACAGUGAUGGUAUUAAGACGUGGGACUUUUAGUAAGUAGUUAGGUUAUGAGGGCACAACCCCCACGAAGGAAUUAAUGCUCAAGGGAACUAGCUAGUACUUUUUAGUCCUUCCAUCCCUUCCACCAUGUGAGUACAUAAUGUUUACCCCCUCAGGAAGAUGCAGCAACAAUGUCCCUUCUCAGGAGCAGAGACCAGACCCUCAAUAGAUACUGAACCUGCUGGCACUUUAAUUUUGUACUCCCAGCCUCAAUAACUGUGAGCCAUAAGUUUAUGCAGUUUAUAUGUUACUCAGUCUCAGGUAUUUUGUUAUAGCAGCAUAAGACACCAUCUAUUACAUAAUCAAAAAAUAUAACAAAAGAAAAAGUAGCAAAUUCAACUAAGAAAAUAAGGAGAUGGCAGAAGGUUGAUAAAAGUAAAAAGGAAACAUAUGAACAAAAGCUGGUUCUUUGAAAAAAUAAAUUAAACUAAACUCUAGCCAGACUAACCAAGACAAGAACAGAGAAGACAAAAAUUACCAAUAUCAGGAAUGAAACAAAAGUCAUCACUUAUUAGCCCAAGGACUAUAAUAGGAUAGUAAAGGAACACCAAGAAUGACUAUUGCCAUAAAUUUGAUAACUUACAUAAAAUGUAUCAAUUUCUUGAAAGACUCAAACUAACUCACACAAAGAGAAAUAGAUAACAUGAUAGCCCUAUACCAAUUAAAGAUUUUGACUCAAUGAUUAAUAACCUUUGAAAAAAUGUAGUACCAGGCCCAGUUACUUUUGUAUUCUACCAAACACUUCAGAAGAAAAUAAUACCGAUAUCCACAAUCAUUUCUAGAAAAAUAGAAGCAGAGGGAAUACUUCCUAACUCCCUCCCUGAGGCCAGAAUUAACCUAAUGCAGACCAUUAUCCUCUUAAACACUGAUGCAAAAAUCCCUCGUAAAAUAAUGGCUAAUUGAAUCCAACAAUAUAUAGAAAGAAUUGUAUACCAAGACCAAGUAAGAUUUAUUUUAGGUAAGCAAGUCUGGUGUAACAUUAAAAAAUCAAUCAACAUAAUCCACCAUAUCAACAGGAUAAAGAAAAAAAAUUAUAUUAUCAUAUCAAUUGAUGCACAAAAAGCAUUGAUAAAAUCCAAUACCUAUUCAUGAUAAAAAAAAAAGUUUGGAAAAUUAGGAAUAAAGAAUAAUUUCCUUAACUUGAUGAAAACAUUUAUUUAAAAAAAACAUAUAUUUGAUCGUCAGAGAUUGGAUGCUUUCCUACUGAUGUCCUUGGAAACAAGGCAAAAAUUUCUUCUUUCACACUCCUAUACAACAUGUAUUAAAGGACAAACUAUUACAAUAGGAUAGUUUGACAGUUUCUUACAAAGUUAAACACUUCCUUACCUUAUGAACUACAAACCAUGCUUUUAGGUAUUUAUCCAACUGAUUUAAAAAAUAGAACACAUAAAAACCUGCAUGUGGAUAUCUAUGGCAGACCUAUUCAUAAUUGUCUAAAACUUGAAGUAACUAAUAUGUCCCUUAAGAGGUAAAUGGAUAAAGAGAGAGUGGUACAUGUAUAUAAUGAAAUACUAUUCAGCAAUAAUGAACGUAUUAUCAAGCUAUGCAAAUACAUGAAUGAAUCUUAAAUUCAUAUUUCUAUCUGAAAGAAGACAGUCUAAAAAACUGUAUACUAUAUGAUUCCAAUGAUAUAAGGUUCUGGAAAAGGUAAAACAAUAGAGGUAUUUAAAAACAUCAGUGGAUUCCAGGAAUACAGGGUAGGGGCAGAGGUAAAUAGGUAAAUCACAUGGGAUCUUUUAGGGUGGUGGAAAACAUUCUACAUGAAACUGUAAUCAUGGAAACAUGGCAUCAUGAAUUUGUCAAGGCCUAUAGGGCACAAAGACUAAAACUGAACACUAUUGCAAAAAACCCUUGUGAUGGUUAAUAUUACGUGUCAACUUGAUUGAAGGAUGCUUGGAUAGCUGGUAAAGUAUUGUUUCUGGGUGUGUCUGUAAGGGUGUUACGAGAGGAGAUUAAUAUUUGAGUCAGUGGACUGGAAAAGGAGGACUCAUACUCAAUGCGGGUGGGCACCAUUCAAUCAGCUGCCAGCAUGGCUAGAACAAAGCAAGUGAAAGAAGAUAGGAUAAGCUGGCUCACUGAGUCUUCUGGCUUUCAUCCUUCUCCCAUGCUGGAUGCUUCCUGCACUUGGACAUCAGACUCCAGGUUCUUUGGUCUUUGGACCCUUGGACUUACAACAGUGGUUUGCCAGGGGCUCUCAGGCCUUCGGCCACAGACUAAAGGUUGUACUGUUGGAUUCCUUACUUUUGAGGCUUUUGGACUCAGCCUGAGCCACUACUGGCUUCCUUCCUCCUCAGCUUGCAGACAGCCUAUCAUGGGACACACCUUUUGAUUGUGUGAGUUAAUAAACUCCCUUUCAUAUAUACAUAUAUCCUAUUAGUUCUGUCCCUCUGGAGAAUCCUGACUAAUACAACCCUUAUGUAUGGAAAACAUUAAGAUCAUUUAGAAGGUCAAGAGUUAUCAGAAUAGAAUGAAGAAUGAGACAAACUAACCAUAUAACAAAUUAAAAAAAAAACAACAAACCUGAAAGUGCUGACCUAAGCGAUUUUGGAAAGGAGUUUUUGAAACCAAAUGUGGUAAGAACCAGAUGUAAAUAUUGUACUUGAGAUGAUAGAUUUCUCCCAACUAGGUACAGGUUAACAAUUCUGAAGCCAUAUAUAUUCGAAUAUAUAUAUGAAGGACAUAUAUUCGAAUUGAACAAUUAAAGAAUGAUGAACAGUGGGAAUCAGUUUCUCACAUUUAAAGUGGGUCAUUACAGACCAGCAAAAGUAGAAUCGUAGAAUGAUCAAUGUGGUAAUAAAUUAGAAGUCAUCACUGUGAACUCAUGCUUGGCUCAAAAUAGGUACAUAUAGUUAUAUAAAAAAGAUAUUUAGAGAAUUAUGUGUGUAUGUAUAUAUGCAUGUGUCUGUGUAUGUAUAUAUACACAUAUGAUAACACAUAUAGGAAUAUAUAUAGUUACUAUAUAGUUAACCUAUAUGUAGUUAACAACACAUAUAGAAACAUAUACAGUUCCUUAUUCUCUCAGCUAAGCAGAUCUAGAGGCAAUGACACACCAGUGGCAACCAUGACACCUAGUACCCAGAUUUUGGUUUCUAAUAUCAUUUUCAGUAGAAGGAAACAGUGAGUCUUAGAAAAAUGUCUCAUUCCAGGACUUGGAAGGAAAUAUUUAUGAUGAGUUUGAAGCAUAGUAUAAUGCCAGAAAGUAGAAUACUAAAACAAACAAAAGACACCCAAAAAACAAAAAGCAGCAUUGGAAGUAAAUUAAAGGGACACAAGAGCUAACUAAAAAAGCUACUAAUGUCCAUACCUGGAACAAUUUGGGCAACAGAAUAAAUAAAGUGGUAUUAGAUUAAAACCCAAAGUGUAAAAUAAAUAUCCAUGAGUCUAUAUUGAUAGAAAUCAAUUACUGAAUUAAAAAAAUAGAUUGAGAAGAAAAAGUAAAUCUCUUAUGCAGAUGAAUUCAAAUAAUUUAUGUAGAUAUUCUACCCUCAAAAAUAGAAAGCAUAACUUCUCAAAUAUUUUUAAGCCAUAGUGACUUCCUUCCUAAGUAUACAGUAUGGAUAGGGGAAAAAAGAGUAACUUUAAAGUGGAGAAACUUCAAAUAAGCAAACAAACAAACAAAAAACAACUACUCUGCCAAAUAAUCAAAGUCAACAUCAACAGUGAUAAGUCAUGUUGAUAGUAUAUAUCCUUGGUAUUAUGUGAUGUCACUUUACCUUGUGGUCUUCCUCCCCAAAACACAUAAUCGGUCUUGUCAUAAAAAAAAAAAAGCAAAAAAAAAAAAAACAAAACAAAACAACAACAACAAAAAAUCUCCCAAAUGAGGGAGAGUCUACAAAAUACCUCACCAGUAACACUCAAAACUGUCAAGGUUAUCAAAAACAAGCAAAACCUAAGAAAUUGUCUCAGUCAAAAGGAGCAACCACUAAAUAUAAUGUGGUAUGUUGAAACAGACUGUGGAACAGAAAAAGAAUGUAAGGGAAAAAACUAAGAAAAUCUGAAUAAAGUAUGAACUUUAGUUAAAAAAAAAAGUGCGUAUCAAUAUUAGCUCAUUUGUUAGGACAAAUGUACCAUACUAAUGUAAGCUGUCAAUAAUAGGGAACACCAGCUAUGAAAAAUAAGCAAACUCUGUAAUGUUUUCACAAUUUUUCUCUAAAUCUAAAACUCUUUUCGAAUAAAAGUUUAUAUUAAAAAAUGAGCAUAUUAGUUCCAAGAUUAAAAGGAAAAAAAGGAUAUAUAUUACAAAUAAGACAAUUCAAAACUAUUAUAAGUUAACAUUUAAAAAUAGAUAAAAUAAGAUACUAAGAAUGAAUAGAUAAAUAAUUGACUUUAUAACAAAGGACAAAAUUUGAAAAUGAAAAGCCACAACAUAAAAAUUUG
rnacentral:lncRNA from 10 species